rnacentral:lncRNA from 1 species
CGACGGCUCUUCCUGCCUCCUGGUCCUCAGGAGUUGGCGGCUCUUUCUGACAGCUGAAAGCCGGCCGGGGGCCUCCGGGAGGGCUCUCCAAGAGUGGGCAGAGACGCCUCAGCCCCCUGGUGGCCCGAGCGCACCCCCGCGCCCCGCGUCUCGGGGUCCAUCGCUCCCCUCGCCCCUCCUUUCCGCCUCUCCUCGCUCUGCCUCUCUCGAUUUAUUUUUUCAAAUGGUGUAGCCGCCAGAGGUGCGGUGCUAAAUUCUUGGAAGGGGCCCGGAUGUACUGAAGAUGCAUUACAAUCUUACUAAAGGAGGCAGUAGUGGAAAGGAGCAGUUUUUGGUGUUUGAUGCAAUAAUGGGAAUCAGUUUUUGGUUAAUGGUCAAUGAAAAUACGAGGAUGUACAUUCCUGAGGAAAACCACCAAGGUUCCAACUAUGGGAGUCCACGCCCAGCUCAUGCCAACAUGAAUGCCAAUGCAGCUGCGGGGCUGGCCCCCGAGCACAUCCCCACCCCUGGGGCAGCCCUAUCGUGGCAGGCAGCCAUCGAUGCGGCCCGGCAGGCCAAGCUGAUGGGCAGUGCUGGGAAUGCGACCAUCUCUACUGUCAGCUCUACACAGCGAAAGCGGCAACAAUACGGGAAACCCAAGAAGCAGGGUGGCACUACCGCCACGCGGCCGCCCCGGGCCCUGCUCUGCCUGACUCUGAAGAACCCCAUCCGGAGAGCGUGCAUCAGCAUUGUCGAAUGGAAACCAUUUGAAAUCAUUAUUUUACUGACUAUAUUUGCCAAUUGUGUGGCCUUAGCAAUCUAUAUUCCUUUCCCAGAAGAUGAUUCCAACGCCACGAAUUCCAACCUGGUCCCUGGGAUGUCAAGGAAGAAUGGCACCCACGCUAGCUUUUGGCUCAGAGGUUGCAAGAGGAAACCAAAAACCUCCCUGCUUUCUGGCAGCAGUAUUGCUGUGUGUCUGUGGAGUGAGGACUGUCUUGUGAAGAUGAUGUUGCUCUUUGGUUAUGAUUGAAAUGAUGGGGGCUAAAGCGAUCCCUAGCUCAGAAGACUUGAGACUUGCUGAAUAAAAAGGAUGAAGAGCGAGGAGAUGUGUCUGUGUGGGGGGACGGAUUAUGAGUGCUGGAAGGGAGGUCCCACCAAUUGUCAGGGGCCAGGGGAGGAUGCUAGUAGCAAAGGAAAUAGCCUAGGAGGAACGAACUGGGCAGAUUUUCUACUCUGUGUGAUGUUGGGAGCAGGCAGAAGGGCCACACUGCACUGGAAAGACAGUUCAGCAGAAAAUUCAGUUCCUUUACAAAAAAAAAGUUCACACCUUUAAAUGGGGUUGUUUUACCUGUUGGGGAGAUGCUGAGUCUCUGAAUGCCAUCUUCUAUCAUCCUUACCUGUCAAGAAGACUUUAAAUUCUGGGCUGCCAAACUUUUGUUUUUCCCUGUGUCCAGCCAUUUCUAGUAAAGCCUGUUUGUUUUUGUAUACUUAUUUUACCCUUUUGGCAGUAGGAGUGUUUUCUGCUUAGAUACUUU